GAUGAACGCUGGCGGCGUGCCUAAUACAUGCAAGUCGAGCGAACAGACGAGGAGCUUGCUCCUCUGACGUUAGCGGCGGACGGGUGAGUAACACGUGGAUAACCUACCUAUAAGACUGGGAUAACUUCGGGAAACCGGAGCUAAUACCGGAUAAUAUAUUGAACCGCAUGGUUCAAUAGUGAAAGACGGUUUUGCUGUCACUUAUAGAUGGAUCCGCGCCGCAUUAGCUAGUUGGUAAGGUAACGGCUUACCAAGGCAACGAUGAGUAGCUGACCUGAGAGGGUGAUCGGCCACACUGGAACUGAGACACGGUCCAGACUCCUACGGGAGGCAGCAGUAGGGAAUCUUCCGCAAUGGGCGAAAGCCUGACGGAGCAACGCCGCGUGAGUGAUGAAGGUCUUCGGAUCGUAAAACUCUGUUAUUAGGGAAGAACAAAUGUGUAAGUAACUAUGCACGUCUUGACGGUACCUAAUCAGAAAGCCACGGCUAACUACGUG
rnacentral:rRNA from 1 species